GAUCCAGAAUGCAGCGAGGUAAGCCACGACGAAUAUUUGAGAAAUGCUGCUAGAAUCAGUUUGACAGCAAAUGAUGGAAUUGCUACCAACGAGACACGCAUUGUUAAUCCUCUGGGUUUCAUGAGGAAGGAACCUCUGGCUGACUGCCCUAUAGUAUUCAAGGAACUCGGAUUGGGUCCCGAUGGACAACUGAUCAAUAUAUAAUCUCAUUUUUAACAAUUAAUAUUCAUUCCUUCAUUUACCACUUCAAUAAGCAGUUGUAUUCUUUCCAAAAUUUCUUUUUGGCCUCAUCUUUUGUUUACUUAUUAAAAUGAAUCAUUAAUGUACGACUGUUUAUCAGGGCAUUAAUUAUUUGUCCUGCAUAUAAAUAUAUAUACAUAUAUAUAAAACCCUGUAGUACAACUACGUUUUUGCAGAAUUAAUUUUGUUCUUCUUGUAAGUUCAUGUAAUACUCUUAUUGCUAUACAAAAAAUAUAUAUAAAGAAUCUAUUAUUGUCUUGGAUGUUUCUUUUAUUUGUGUUUGCUAAUGUAUAAGAGAGUUAAUGAGGCCAAUUCUACAACAUUGUUGUUAGAAUUUCAUAGAAACAACUUGCAUUCUUUCUAAUCCUAGUUAGAACAUGCUUUAGGAGGAUGAAGAAUUGUCAAAAAUUUGGAUAACAUAAUUUAUUCCGAAAAACAAAAAUAUAAAAAAGAGUUGGCAGUUCAAAUCGAUCACCAUUGGAGGAGACAGCAACUUCACUGAAGUUUUCAGCCACAAGAGUGGAUCCUUAGAGUCUGCAACAGGAAAUUGAUGAAAAAUAACAGAGCAGAAAAAGAUUAGAGAAAAAUUCAAGGACGAAGAAGUAGUCGCGGG
rnacentral:lncRNA from 1 species